rnacentral:lncRNA from 1 species
GGAAAUUCCAAUGUGAUUCAUAACUUUAGACUUAUGCAUGGUUUGUAAAAUAGGCUACUCUUGUCACCAGCAGUUUAGAGUUUCCUAGUUAGACUUUCAUAGAAAUGGGUCUCAGAAAACAAAGCCAAAUCCCAGAAGGGACAGCUGGGUUUAACAGGUGAAGAGAUCACAUCUAAUGGUUUUCCUCCCAAAGCCCCAUUACUGUUGAUUUUCUUUCUUAUUUCUUACCAAAUAUAAACUAACAAUGUCUAUUUCUAUUUUUUUAAGAUACCUCAUUUGAGAAUUUAUUUCUGAUCUAAGAGAAAACAAAUACUGUGCCCAAAAUACAAAGUCCCUAUUUACACAUACAAAUGCAAUAAUUUAAUUUUUUGCAGCUUAAGGUAAAUUCUAUA